AGGGGAACAGCGUGAAUGCCCCUCCUCUCCCGGCCUUUCCUUCCCGGCAGUUACGACAGGCCACUAGAGGUUAUUUACAUUCAAUAGUUACACCUGACACACCUGUAAAGUCUUCUAAUUUUCGUGAAAUGUUGUCUUCAAUCCACUCUUCUGUGGAAGCAAAGGAGCAUUCUCUAGCACCGUUAACAUUACUUGGUGUCAGAAGGGGGAUCUGAAGGAGAUGAACCCCUGAAGAAUUAAUGAUCCCUGGAAUCAUGCACGGUACCUCCUUGAUCCUCUUGUGCUCCCCACUUCCUUUUGGUUCGGCAUGUUGAACAGCAGUUGCUGAAGUGAUUUUGAUGAAAUGUGACCUUUGAAGACUGUGGCCACUGACCAAAGAAUCUGAACUACAGUAUCCAACAUUUUACAGGCUACAAAACAUAAGCUGGCCAGCAUUUAUUGCUUGUACUAACAGCUUGAGUCAAGUGUCCUAAACCUACAGAGAAGACCUCUUACUGCUGCUAAUUUUACUACCAGCAAAGAAAAGGGAAAUAGGAAACCGUAUGGGAUGGCUGAAUGAGAGCAUUUGUGAGAGCAGUAUGAACUCGGAUUAUCUGAAGAGAGGGCAACUUUUUUCUAAAACUAAAAAGGACUCAAUUUGCAUAGAA